CUCAGCUGUAAUUAGAGGUCAGCCCUGCACACACUGGAGCCCUCCUGUUGAACUGCUCUCAGCAAAAGAUCCACACUACUGUGAUGAGGGGAGCAAAAAUUAAUUCUAUAUAUUGGAAACUGAAAAGUGAAGCCACUGAAAGAAUCAUGGAAUCAUAGAAUGGCCUGGAUUGAAAAGGACCAUAAUCAUCAUCAAGUUUCAACCCACCUGCUAUGUGCAGGGUCACCAACCACCAGACCAGGCUGCAUCCAGAGCCACAUCCAGCCUGGCCUUGAAUGCCUCCAGGGAUGGGGCAUCCACAACCUCCUUGGGCAACCUGUUCCAGGCUCCUUCACCAUGGAAACAGAAGAGGAAUUAUCCUAAAUUUGCCCAGGCAGAAUUAUGAACUAGCUCUACAACUGAACAGUUUGAACACAACUACUAAGUGCUAAUCUAAUCUUUUUCAUACCACCCAUUCAAGGCUCAGCAGCAGAUAUCUUUGCUUUGCAUUACCCUGGAGAACUUCUGGCAUCACUUAAUGUGGAGCUCACACCUUCUGCCUUUGUUUUAUCUUUAUGGCACUAAAAGGUGCAAACCAGAGCACACAUCUUAUCCAGCUGCCAAUUUUCCAUUAGCUGUCCAUAUUUCUUCUUUUUCUGCUAAAGAUGCUGCUAUUCCAUCUCACUUGCAUACAUUGUGGUUAUGUCAAGCUGCUCAACACUAUAAGACAGUCUAAAUAAAAUGAUUUUGAAUCCCUCUGGACAUGACUUCUUCAAAAGAUUUCAUUUCUUUUCAGUUACUGGAUUCCAGUAUGCAGUGCCUUUGGUUUCUCACACAUAGCUGUGGAUGUGGCAUCACUGAAAUUCAUAGCCAGGGUCCCUUCAGGAACAGUGAUCACCAGUGACCCUGGUUAGAGGAACACGAAAUACCUCAGUACUUCAACAGAGCUGGGUUUGAAGCAACAAAAUAAGAGCGAUUCUCCCAAAGAUCUUGCCCAUUACUCCAACGCAUUUUUGGAGAUCAGUGCUUGCACACAGCAGCCUUUAUCGGCAGAGCUCCCAGUUUAUUUACUUCACUAUCAGCCUGGUAAUGAGACUGAAAGAGCUCACUACUGAUCUCUGUAAGGGAUCUAGGUCAUGCAGAGCUCUGCUGGUCAUGAAUAAUUCUUCUGUACAAUAUACAUCAUCAAGGCUCUUGCAGUAGGUUCUUAAUUUCAGCCUCUCAGUGCCUGAAAACAGCCACACGUUGCAGUGAGGUAACUUAGAGGUCCUACAGCAGGCAGAGGGACUCCUUUUGCUGUUGGUGCAGACAGCUCUGCCUCCAAAGCCAUGUGGGAGAUGAUUUUUUCCCCCUCACUCUUAUUCAUAAAAACAGGUAUGUAGGUUGCUCUGAAAGUAAUG
ensembl:lncRNA